AGAGUUUGAUCCUGGCUCAGAGCGAACGCUGGCGGCAGGCUUAACACAUGCAAGUCGAGCGGGCGUAGCAAUACGUCAGCGGCAGACGGGUGAGUAACGCGUGGGAACGUACCUUUGGUUCGGAACAACACAGGGAAACUUGUGCUAAUACCGGAUAAGCCCUUACGGGGAAAGAUUUAUCGCCGAAAGAUCGGCCCGCGUCUGAUUAGCUAGUUGGUGAGGUAACGGCUCACCAAGGCGACGAUCAGUAGCUGGUCUGAGAGGAUGAUCAGCCACAUUGGGACUGAGACACGGCCCAAACUCCUACGGGAGGCAGCAGUGGGGAAUAUUGGACAAUGGGCGCAAGCCUGAUCCAGCCAUGCCGCGUGAGUGAUGAAGGCCCUAGGGUUGUAAAGCUCUUUUGUGCGGGAAGAUAAUGACGGUACCGCAAGAAUAAGCCCCGGCUAACUUCGUG
rnacentral:rRNA from 1 species